GGGCCAGCUUUAUCACCUGAGGAAGUAACCAGGUUCUUUUUUCUCCCCUCCCUGCAAUUCAGCAGAUAGGUGGGUCUCUUGGCCUGUGGCUCCUUCUUUACCCAGCAAGUCUCCCUCCCCAGAGAUGAGGAUCCCUGUAAUUACCUGAGUCCUCUCCCUCCCUUGUCCCCACACCACCUCCCAGGUCCUCUCCCUCUCUAGAAGAAAUGGUCCAAGUUAAAAGGCAGACACUACUGAAGCUCCAGAGAAGACUCAGUAGCUUCUAGUUUCUGGCAUUUUGGUCACUGGCAUUUGGCAAAAUGGCCCUUGAUUUAACCACAAAAGAGGAAUUUGCUGAUACUCAACCAUCCGCCCCGACUAGUUGUGGACGAUGUCUGCCAGCUGCCUACAGAAUCCACCCCUUUCCUUUGGAAUUCUCUCCUCCUCCUGACGCUGACAAUACCCUUGCCCUUCAGAGGACCUGCCUUCCCACUCUCCAUUGGACACUGUCGAACUUCUUGACGUCCAGUCCCAAGGGCACAGCCACCGCAGGACUUCACGUCUGCCUGCCUGAGCAGGGCUGGUGUCUUAUGAAUGGCAGCUGAGACCCAGUUUGGGCUCACAAUCUCAUAUCACAAAAUGAACUCAAAGGAAAAUGACUCAUCACCGACCUACUCAGAAUCAUUGGUCCCCGGCAAGCAAGGGUGAUCCUGCAUCGAUCUAUUAAUUUUCAUUUCCGGGGUUCUCAGAUGUAAAACAAAUGUUUGAUGUAAUCCGCAACACUGCUCUGUUAUAAUUAAACAACCUCCUACUGCCUAAAUUGGCAAAGCACUCCAUCGAUCAGUGAUAAAUGUGGUCCUUGGGAGACUGCUUUUAUGUUUGUUUCACUCAUGGGAAAAUGGCCACAACCCUUUUGUAAGAUUCCUCGGCUGCUGCUCUCCCCAGGUUACAAUCAUAGUAACUGCUGCUUCUGGGAUGCCUCGCUGUAAUCCUCAUGUUCAAUGAUGGCUCAGUGGAUAUGUGCUUGAAGGAGAGUGAGUGAUGGGGAGUCUACAAUUAUGAAUAAAAUAUAUUCAAGUCAAUAAACCCUUCCUGGGUUCCUUUGCCUCACCAUUUUA
rnacentral:lncRNA from 1 species